rnacentral:lncRNA from 1 species
CCUCUCGUUUAUGCAAGUAAUGGCUAUGUUCUUUUUUUUAUGAAUGGAGUGAGCAAUGGCUAUCCACUUGGUUAAUUCACUUCCCAUAAUUUGCAAGGUUAGGGUCAUUUAGGAGUGCCAUCUGGUUGACUCCGGCCACUUACACUGAGGGAAAAAUAUUUGUUGGACUCAGCUAAUUUCUUGUUUCUGUUGGUAAUGCAUUGCUGGUAUUUAAUUUUAUCUU